rnacentral:rRNA from 1 species
GGGUGAGUAACACGUGGGUAACCUGCCUUAAAGUGGGGGAUAACACUUGGAAACAGGUGCUAAUACCGCAUAACCAUCAAAACCGCCUGGUUUUGAUGUUAAAGAUGGUUCUGCUAUCGCUUUAAGAUGGACCCGCGGCGUAUUAGCUAGUUGGUGAGGUAAUGGCUUACCAAGGCAAUGAUACGUAGCCGAACUGAGAGGUUGAUCGGCCACAUUGGGACUGAGACACGGCCCAAACUCCUACGGGAGGCAGCAGUAGGGAAUCUUCCACAAUGGACGAAAGUCUGAUGGAGCAACGCCGCGUGAGUGAAGAAGGUUUUCGGAUCGUAAAACUCUGUUGUCAGAGAAGAACGUGUGUGAGAGUAACUGUUCACGCAGUGACGGUAUCUGACCAGAAAGUCACGGCUAACUACGUGCAGCACCCGCGGUAAUACGUAAGUGGCAAGCGUUGUCCGGAUUUAUUGGGCGUAAAGGGAACGCAGGCGGUCUUUUAAGUCUGAUGUGAAAGCCUUCGGCUUAAC